UGAGGUUGAUCUGUCAGUUUAGCUGACAUCCUGCGUUUAAAGAAAGUAUUAGAUACAGAAAACAAAACCUGUUUCUGUCUAGAAAAUGAAGUGCCAAAGGAGAAACCCACAACCUCAGUUUGGGAGGAGAGAGCAGGCGAUGUGGGGCGCUGACUUUCACAUUGAACAUGACAGGUAGCCCAGAUGGUUUCUCAAUGGAAAAUGACUUUUCCCGAAGACAUUCUACCAUAUCUGCAAUGUUUCUAGUGCUUACACAUUUGGGUGAAUGAAUAUCAACUUCAUGGUCAUCUUGGGCUGCAAUAAAAAACAAACCCAGGGCCAGCCCAUGGUUUCGCAGGUUUGGAUCCUGGGCGCAGACAUGGCACCACUCAUCAGGCCAUGCUGAGGCGGCAUCCCACAUAACACAACCAGAGGCACUCGCAACUGGAAUAUACAACUACAUACUGGGGGGCUUUGGGGAGAAGAAGGAGGAAAAAAAAAAAGAUUGGCAACAGAUGUUAGCUCAGGUGCCAAUCUUUAAAAAACAACAACAAUCCUCCCCCAGGACUGGCUAGAAUCAUUCUGUCCACACAGGUCUCAGCUUCUUAUCAAACAUUUUCCAAUCAGAAACAGCCUUCCCUUCCAAGGAGGAAUUCUGGCACGUGGAUUUCCUCCAGCUCAGCACCGUUGCUUCAGGGGACUCAGUGGUGGGAGGCCAAUGCCAGGGCAGCUUCAAUAAAACCGCCAGGACUUGUGACAGCAUGGAUGUCCAUUUUAACACCCAUGACCUGUAUUUGAUAUUUUAAGUAAAAUUCUAAAGCAAGCAGCUUUGCAUCAUUAAAGUUUAUUAUUUAAGUGUUC
rnacentral:lncRNA from 1 species